rnacentral:rRNA from 1 species
UACGAAGGGGGCUAGCGUUGCUCGGAAUUACUGGGCGUAAAGGGCGCGUAGGCGGCACUGUUAGUCAGGCGUGAAAGUCCUGGGCUCAACCUGGGAACUGCGCUUGAUACGGCAGAGCUAGAGGAUGGAAGAGGCUCGCGGAAUUCCCAGUGUAGAGGUGAAAUUCGUAGAUAUUGGGAAGAACACCGGUGGCGAAGGCGGCGAGCUGGUCCAUUACUGACGCUGAGACGCGAAAGCGUGGGGGAGCGAACAGG